rnacentral:rRNA from 1 species
UGACGGUAUUCAACCAGAAAGUCACGGCUAACUACGUGCCAGCAGCCGCGGUAAUACGUAGGUGGCAAGCGUUAUCCGGAUUUAUUGGGCGUAAAGAGAGUGCAGGCGGUUUCUUAAGUCUGAUGUGAAAGCCUUCGGCUCAACCGAAGAAGUGCAUCGGAAACUGGGGAACUUGAGUACAGAAGAGGGCAGUGGAACUCCAUGUGUAGCGGUGGAAUGCGUAGAUAUAUGGAAGAACACCAGUGGCGAAGGCGGCUGCCUGGUCUGUAACUGACGCUGAGACUCGAAAGCAUGGGUAGCGAACAGGAUUAGAUACCCUG